rnacentral:rRNA from 1 species
AUUGAACGCUGGCGGCAGGCCUAACACAUGCAAGUCGAGCGGAGCGGCGGACGGGUGAGUAAUGCCUAGGAAUCUGCCUGGUAGUGGGGGAUAACGUCCGGAAACUGGCGCUAAUACCGCAUACUAUCAGAUGAGCCUAGGUCGGAUUAGCUAGUUGGUGGGGUAAAGGCUUACCAAGGCGACGAUGCGUAACUGGUCUGAGAGGAUGAGCAGUCACACUGGAACUGAGAUACGGUCCAGACUCCUACGUGAGGCAGGAGUCGGGAAUAUUGGACAAUGGGCGAAAGCCUGUUCCGCCCAUGCCGCGUGUGUGAAGAAGGUCUUCGGAUUGUAAAGCACUUUAAGUUGGGAGGCGGUACCAAAAGAAUAAGCCCCGGCUAACUUCGUGCCAGCAGCCGCGGUAAUAC